GAGUGUCUAUGUUAUUGCUAGAGACAGUUCAAGGCACAGGAGAUAGAAAAUGAACAAAAGUGGUAAAAUCCUUCUUCUCAUGAAGAUAUUUUAAUGGGGGGACAGAAUAAACAAAUUUCUAAGAAAAUAUAGGAUUAUGAAAGAGUGACAAAUUAAAGAGGGUAAAGGAGAGACAGCAUUUGGAGGGGAGGGAGCUAUUUAGAUGUAGUGAUCAGAGAAGGCCAAUCUAAGAGGACAUACUUUAGCUGAGACUCAAAUGUUGACAAGCCAGACAUGCAAAUAUCUCGAGGGAGACUAUUCCAGACAAAGAACAGUGGCAGAAAGAAGGUCAGUGUGGCUGAAAUAAAAUGAAUAGGACAAGUAGUAAGAAACAAGGUCAGAGAGGCAGGCAGGGUGCAGAUCCUUCUGGUUCUUUUAGACUUUGGUAAAAUCAGAUUUCAUUCUAAGAGCAAUGAAAAGCAAUUGAGGCUUUUAAGCUGGGGAAUGAUAAAUUCUGAUUUGUGCCUUAAAAGAUCAUACUAACCACUGUGUCACAGACCACAAAGGAGUAAAAGAUAAAGCAGAAAAACAGUGAUAAAUUCAAUUACAUUAAAAUUAAGAACUUUUCUUCAAAGACAGGAUUGAAAAACUAAAAUUAAAAGCCAAAGGACAAAUAUACCUGACAAAUAAUUCCUAAAUACAUAGACACAAUAAGAAAAAGACAAACAACUCAAAUAAAAAAUGAAAAAACUACUUGGAAAAGUACCUGACAAAAGAGGAAACCUGAAUGACAAGAUAGUCAGUCUCAUUAGUAAUCAAGGAAAUACAAGUUAAAUUUACAAUGAAGCAUCAAUUCACUGAGUUAACAACUAUCCUGCUUUCAUAAUAAUCACUCCCUUGCUUUUCUUUAAAUUUUACUACCUUCGAACAUAUUUUUUCUGUUUUGGAACUUUUCGUACAGGAAUCUUACUGCUUGUAUUCUUUUGUGAGUUGCUUUCUUUAUCCAACUUUAUGUUUUUGAGAUUCAUCCACACUAAUUACCGUAGUUGAAACAUUUUCACUGCUCCAUCAUUACUUGGGUAUGCCACUAUUUGCUUAACCAUUUUACUGCUAAUGGACAUUUGGGUGGUCCCCUUUCCUUCCUCCUCCCCUGUCCUUCUUUCUCUCUUUCUCCUCCUUCUCUCUCUUUUUUUGUUUGCUACUUAACAACAACAAUAUCCAAACAAGCUUGUACAUGUCUCAAAGUUCACAAGUGGAAGAGUUUCACUCAGAUAUAUACUGCUGAGCUGUAAUG
rnacentral:lncRNA from 1 species